CUGCUCUUAGCUCAAUGGUCAGAGCAUCACUCAUGAAUGCUGAAGGUUGUGGGUUCAAGUCCCACAGUACACC
rnacentral:tRNA from 1 species